GGUGUAACUGUACAAACCUGACCUUAGGUCACGAUAUCAUGGGCACUGAACACAGUUUUCCCUUCCUGCAUCCUACAAAGCUUCUUCUCCCACAAAGGGCGACCACAU